UUGAGAUAUAGCUUAGUGGUAGACCGCUAGACUUUUAAUCUAGAAGCGCAGGUUCAAAUCCUGCUAUCUCAAU
rnacentral:tRNA from 1 species